rnacentral:lncRNA from 1 species
ACUUUCCUGAGGGUUACAUUCCUCAGCACUUACUCAUCCAAAACUGCCUGUUGGAGGCAGGUCCUUAAUUUCUUAAACAGGCCUGUGUUGGUUGUGUUGAGCAGGGCUGCACAGCAGCACUUCUGGGACAUCUCCUCAUUGCUACUGUACACAUACAGUGGUCUGAGCCACCCUUUCCCUCUUGGUCCAGAAGACAACCUUGCCAUCUUGGUAAGGCAGCCAGGAGCCCCCCUGUACUUCCAAAUGGUUCCAAAGAAAACCAGCCUCAGUGAAAGUCAAUUAACUGAGGAGGCAAAGAGAUUUUCCCCAGCCCUGGAAGAUGCAGAUUAUCUUCAACAAAGUGGAUACCUCCUACUACCAGACUUCCUGGCGUACAUUGACAUUCCUCUCCUAAGAAACCACCUCGUCAGGAUUGUCAUGAAAAGACUGAGAAAGGAUGCUGCCUCCCACCUUUGGGACAGUACAACAUUUUAGCCCUUUUCUACUUCAGAUGGCCAUGACAUUUGCACUCAUCCAGCAGGGCAGAGAAAACAGGGAGACUUAUCACUGAAUGUUUUUCUGGUGGCAUCUGCCAGACACUUCCCUGCAGAGCAGGAAAAUGAUCAGUAUUUGUCAGGAUUCAGUUACAAUUUUACCAAAGAAGGGACUGGGAAAAGCCAGCUCCUUCCAUGCCGUCGUUCUGCCAUGGCAAUUUCAUUGUGGGGUCUAGCAGUGACCCCAUGGUGAUAGGAGAAGGUGCAAGGGACUGUUUACCUGAUCAGUACCUGUGCACAAACAGGCAGCAGUAGAAAAGAUCCCAAAUACAUGCAAGAAAGUGAAAGAUGAGCUAGGAAUAUGCCUAUAUAUGAAGGCAGUAAUUGAUCCUGGGAAUUGUAACCCAGGGAAAAAAAGAUAAAAUGGAAAUUAGAAAACUAGAGAGGCAGGUGCCUACAACACCUAGGGGAUUGUGAAAACACAGAAAAGUGGAUUUAUGUUGCAUUUGCAUUCAAAGGGAUAACCAGAGGCAGAUAAAUUGAUGCAGGUCUGAUAUUAAAUGAGACAGAGGCCUGUGUGGGAAUGUAAUGGGGUGUAAGGGGUGACAAAAAAAGAAGGUUGUCAUCCAUUAUCCUUUUGGAAGUACAGUCAGGCUAAUAACAAAAAAAAUCACUUGCUUUAUAAGGGUGCAUUUGAUUCACUGCUUUGUGACAUUGAGAGGAUUAAAACUGGCUAACUGAUAGAUUUUAGAAAGUCACUGUUGGGGCAUAUCAUUACUAGCUCAAUGUCCUGAUGUGCAUGCAAAGUUUUAUGUGGUAAAUGUGGUGGGUAGUGAAUGUGUGUAAAAGUAACCUGUCCUUGAUAUUAAUGAGGCUAAAUGCAGGAUCAGGCACUGGGGAAAAAAGCUAAAGGUCACAUUUAUGAACUGUUGGACUUAUCCUGCAGAGAGGGGUUCCUGGGUGAUGAUUCAUAGCAGCUCCAUCAGCAGCUUCCCAGACUAACCCAUGGUCAAGGGAGAAAAGCAGAUCCUCUGCUCCACUGGCAGAGGGGUUGCAGCUGGGGGCAUGACUGCUUCCCUCCUGCAUUAUGUGGGACAGCAUCCAUGGGGCAGCACCAGCAGGGCUCACCUUGAGAUUCAGCCACCCAAGGCAGGUGCCUACUCAUGGGUGGGGUGUGCAGGCACCGAGGGUACCUGAGACAUUCUAAAGCAUCCUGCCUGACCUUGCUGUGCCACUCCUUCCAGCCACACAUCCAGGCCCUCCAGAGCCUCUCAAAUGGCACAAAUAUCCGUAUUUAGGCAACCAAAUAAAGCCAUACAAUAUGAGCUGGAUGUCUAAAUU